rnacentral:rRNA from 1 species
ACCCGCUGAACUUAAGCAUAUCAAUAAGCGGAGGAAAAGAAACCAACAGGGAUUGCCCCAGUAACGGCGAGUGAAGCGGCAACAGCUCAAAUUUGAAAUCUGGCCUUCGGGUCCGAGUUGUAAUUUGGAGAGGAUGCUUUUGGCGCGGCGCCGUCCGAGUUCCUUGGAACAGGACGCCAUAGAGGGUGAGAGCCCCGUACGGGCGGCCGCCUAGCCUUUGUAAAGCUCCUUCGACGAGUCGAGUAGUUUGGGAAUGCUGCUCAAAAUGGGAGGUAAAUUUCUUCUAAAGCUAAAUACCGGCCAGAGACCGAUAGCGCACAAGUAGAGUGAUCGAAAGAUGAAAAGCACUUUGAAAAGAGGGUUAAAAAGUACGUGAAAUUGUUGAAAGGGAAGCGCCUGUGACCAGACUUGCGACCCGUGGAUCAUCCGGUGUUCUUCACCGGUGCACUCCGCGGGCUGCAGGCCAGCAUCGGUUUUCCUAGGGGGUUAAAGGUCGCAGGAACGUAGCUCUUUCGGGAGUGUUAUAGCCUGUGGCGUCAUGCCUCUGGGGAGACCGAGGACCGCGCUUCGGCAAGGAUGCUGGCGUAAUGGUCACCGGCGACCCGUCUUGAAACACGGACCAAGGAGUCAAGCAUUGGGGCGAGUGUCUGGGUGCCAAACCCGCACGCGAAAUGAAAGUAAACGCAGGUGAGAGCUUCGGCGCAUCACCGACCGAUCCUGAUGUCUUCGGAUGGAUUUGAGUAAGAGCCUUACCGCUUGGACCCGAAAGAUGGUGAACUAUGCCUGUAUAGGGUGAAGCCAGAGGAAACUCUGGUGGAGGCUCGCAGCGGUUCUGACGUGCAAAUCGAUCGUCAAAUAUGGGCAUGGGGGCGAAAGACUAAUCGAACCAUCUAGUAGCUGGUUACCGCCGAAGUUUCCCUCAGGAUAGCAGUGUUGUGUUCAGUUUUAUGAGGUAAAGCGAAUGAUUAGGGACUCGGGGGCGCUAUAUAGCCUUCAUCCAUUCUCAAACUUUAAAUAUGUAAGAAGCCCUUGUUACUUAGCUGAACGUGGGCCUUCGAAUGCACCAACACUAGUGGGCCAUUUUUGGUAAGCAGAACUGGCGAUGCGGGAUGAACCGAACGCGGGGUUAAGGUGCCGGAGUGGACGCUCAUCAGACACCACAAAAGGCGUUAGUACAUCUUGACAGCAGGACGGUGGCCAUGGAAGUCGGAAUCCGCUAAGGACUGUGUAACAACUCACCUGCCGAAUGUACUAGCCCUGAAAAUGGAUGGCGCUCAAGCGUCCCACCCAUACCCCGCCCUCAGGGCAGAAACAAGGCCCUGAGGAGUAGGCGGCCGUGGAGGUCAGUGACGAAGCCCAGGGCGUGAGCCCGGGUCGAACGGCCUCUAGUGCAGAUCUUGGUGGUAG